rnacentral:misc_RNA from 1 species
GCAAACUUGGUCAUUUAGAGGAAGUAAAAGUCGUAACAAGGUAACCGUAGGUGAACCUGCGGUUGGAUCAUUACUGAAAUGGAAAAUGACCCUGCUCGGGUCAGAUGUCCGUAAAACGACAUCACCCACACCCUUGUGAACAGUAACCGUCUCUUGGCGACGAUCACCCACCUCGUGACUCAUUUUUCGCGUUGUGGGUCCCGCCACACUCUCAGUCUUCCCGCCCAGUUCCGGUCGUUUGAUCUGACCGGGUGGGUUGACCCGAUGAGUUUGGUGUGGGGGGACGAGAGGAGGAUGAAAACGUCCUCUCUCUCGUCGUCGUCGUCGCCAGCAUAAUGCCACACCCUUGUGUGUUUUUUAUUGACAAAGUCUGACCAUUGAGAACCAUAAAAAAUAAUUGAGAAACAACUUUAGACAACGGAUCUCUUGGCUCUCGCAUCGAUGAAGAACGCAGC